rnacentral:rRNA from 1 species
UACAGAGGGGGCAAGCGUUGUUCGGAAUUACUGGGCGUAAAGGGCGCGUAGGCGGCCUUCUAAGUCGACUGUGAAAUCUCCGGGCUUAACCCGGAAAGGUCAGCCGAUACUGCGGGGCUAGAGUGCAGAAGGGGCAACUGGAAUUCUCGGUGUAGCGGUGAAAUGCGUAGAUAUCGAGAGGAACACCUGCGGCGAAGGCGGGUUGCUGGGCUGACACUGACGCUGAGGCGCGAAAGCUAGGGGAGCGAACGGG